CUGCUCCUGGACAGCUGUCACCAUGUGGUUCCUGGUCCUGGCCCUGGCCCUGGCCCUGGCCCUGG
rnacentral:miRNA from 1 species